UGUGUCCAUGGGCAGCAGGCAAGAAAGGGGCAGAUCCAGGACUGGAAUCAACAUUUCCUUACUCUGAACAACAGCUCUGAACUCUACAGUAUGUUAUUUCAGCUGCAAGGCAAGUGCCAUGGGUGAUAAAUGCUGCUGACAAUGGAAUCUUUCAUCUUCCGGGGCAGGUUUUGCUUGCGAUACCAGGAUGUUUCAGACUAAUUUUCCUGAGAAAUAUGGAACAAAGCAAAGACAAGGAGUCAACAGAACUACCCAGAAGACACUGUUUGAUGUGAAAGGAUUGUCAUUGAAUGGAAAAGAGAAUUUCACAUAGUUUUGCCCUGGACCUGUGCCUCUGGCAUGUUGGAGCCUGAACAUUUUAGGGACAUUCAGAGAUGCUUUUUUGGGAUUAACAGUGGCAUUUUCAUUAUGUGAUGUGAUGGUGACAAAGCUUUUCCAAGUGGCAAGUAUGGUCAGAAGGAAGAGGACGAUAGGGAAGAUGAUGCUAAUUGGUUUGUGGCACUGGCAGGAACCUGUCUGGGCUCUCUAAGAAGUGAUAAAAGAAACAUAUGAAGAGGUACAGAUUUUCAGCUACAAAAUAAAUGAACCCCAGAGCAAGGAUUCAAGCACAUGUUUGCAGGAACACAGCGUUUAAGCUUUUCACGAGGUCACUCAGCUCUCUGUUUUAUGGAGUGUAUACGUGAGACACCACUGCAGGAGGCACUUUGCUCGGCGUGUCUGAUUUCACCUUCAGAAUACACCAGCAGGGUGAGUUCACUUUGUGAAAAUUUAUCAGACUCUUCACUUGGAAUAUGUGCACUUUUCUGUUGUAUGAUGUACUUCAGGAUAAAAUCAAGAAAUGGACUGGGUUUCAGAGCUUCUUAUGUAUGAGAGACCUUCUAGUGUUUUCCUAAAGGCUGCAUGGCUUUUUGUCUACUCCACCUUAGAGGAAUUGUGAGAGAUAUUAAAUGCAGAAAGCACAUUUUGUUUUAAAAGGAAGGGAGAUUGAGACCAUUGGCAGUAAGGGUUUCUGUGGAACAGAAAGGGUAGUGACUGGUUUGGACAGGAGCCUCUGGAAGCUCUGAAUUUAAGGAAACACUGACUUUCUGCUCCCCAAAGCCAACUUAAAGGAUGAGGAAAGUUGACUCUGGCAGUCUGAGCUCAGCAUGGAACAACUGCUACCACCUCCACCAAGAGUGUGCUGGCUGGAUUCACUCCAUCCUCCAAACAGAUGGGUGGAUGUGCUGGCAUUACCCUGUUCCUACCUGGAUGGUUGGCGGAUACAGUCCAUGCCAGUUUCUGCUGAUCUUUCCAGACCAAGUAUUUCAGCACUGAACACACUUUGGGUAGCUUCACCAUAAGAAAGAGGAAAGUGAGAAAGCUGGCUUAAAACUCAACAUUCAAAAAGCUAAGAUCAUUGCAUCCAGGCCCGUUACUUCAUGACAAAUAGAAGGGGAAAAAGUGGAAGCAGUGACAGGUUUUACUUUCUUGUGCUAAAAAUUGCUGGAGAUGGUGACUGCAGCCAUGAAAUUAAAAGACACUGCUUCUUGGAAGGAAACCUAUGACAAACUUAGAUAGCAAAUUAAAAAGCAGAGACAUCACUUUGCUGAUGAUAAUCCAUAUAGUCAAAGCUAUGGUUUUUCCAGUAGUCAUGUACAGAUGUGAGAACUGGACCAUAAAGAAGGCUUAGUGCCAAAGAAUUUAUGUCUUUGAAUUGUGGUGCUGGAGAAGACUCUCAAGAGUCCCUUGCAUUGCAAGGAGAGCAAACCAGUUAAUCCUAAAGGAAAUAAACCCUGAAUACUCAUUGGAAGGACUGAUGCUGAAGCUGAAGCUCCAAUACUUUGGCUAUCUGAUGUGAAAAGCCAACUCAUUGGAAAAGAUUCUAAUGAUGGAAAAGAUUGAGGGCAGGAGGAGAAGGGAGUGGCAGAGGAUGAGAUGGUUAGAUAGCAUCACCAACUCAAUACACAUGAAUUUGAGUAAACUCCAGGAGAUAGUGAAAGACCAGGAAGCUUGGCAUGCUGCAGUUCAUGGGGUCACAGAGUCAGACAUGACUUAGUGACUGAACAACGACAAUGACAACCAUGGUUCACUCAUUAAGAGCAUGUACAUCAUUUAGUCUUACUCUGAUAACCUAAACCAGAAUAAUCCCACAACUGCAGUAGUAUUUAUCUCUCAUUCACAUGACCUGUCUGCAAAUACAGGUUGACUGUCAUGGCUUCAUCCUAAUUUCUUCUCGUUCUGGGAUGAAAUCCACUAAAGAUUUGCUUUCUUACUUCCUUGGCCAAAACAUGUCACAUAACCACACUCAUUUCUGGUACUGGUUUUGUAUUUGUCUGCUUUAUAAUGAGCUGCAGUAACAAGUAACUCCCGAAUCUUGCUCUCAUUGCACAGGAGUUGUCUUGAGUUGGAGGCGAUGCCUCUUCUCCACAUGUCUCCUCACUUUGGUAUACGAGUUGAGUGAGAAACCAUGUUCAUGGCAGAGAGAAGAGAGCAAGAUACCUGGGAGAAACUCCUGAUGCUUCUUGCUGUUUUGUUGCUCAGUCAUGUCCGACUCUUCGUGACCUGUUGGACUGUAGCCCACCAGACUCCUCUGUCCAUAUGGUUUCCCAGGCAAUAAUACUGGAGUGGGUUGCCAUUUCCUCCUCCAGGGGAUCUUCCUGACUCAAGGAUUGAACCUGCGUCACCAAAUUGUAUAUUAUGGACAACCCCAAGAGCAGUGGGAAAAUGUUUUUGACUUUCACAUGGAGGAAGCAUUGCCAACUACUUGAUAAGAGGUGAAGGUACAAUCCUCUCAUAGACAAUAGAGUGAGUGAUUGGGAGCAAAAAUUAGUUGGAAAUGAUUUAAGUUGAAAACAGCAGACUAACUGUCCCUUGAACUGAUUGAUAAGAAGUUAUUUUUCUCAUAUAAAAGGAAGUCUAGAGGCAAAUGGUUGCUAGACUUAGACUUUAGUGUUAGAUUUCUCAUCAAUAUCAUGAGGACUCAAAUUCUAUUUUUUUAAUCUUUCUGUUAGACUAUCCUUAAUGUGUUAGUCAUUCAUAUUUAUACACAUUGUUUUUAACGGCAAUGAGACUGCAGAGUUUGAAGAAUUAUAUGCAUCUUGAAGAGAGGAAGAAAGAAAAAUGGAUGGAACAGUCAGAUGGAUACCUUCUAUCAAGAAUCCAAGCACUUAUCAAGAAGCCCCUUCAUUCAUCCCAGCAAAGUCAUUGGCUUUCAUCUUAUUUUGUAGCACUUGGCUGCCAUGAGUUGUAAGGGAGACUGGAAAGUAUUUAAUUUCCACAAACUCUAAUGAAGACAGGAAAAGAAGAGUGGGGCUUGAAUAUUAGUUGACUUAGCCAGUCAAUGUCGCUUCCCCAGAAAAUCAUUGGAAAAGAAGGAUGUUUGAAUCUGAGCAUUUGUCUUUGUUCAUAACUGGGAACAACAACAAAAAAAAUUACAUCUUUUAUUGGCCUAGUUGGUUAGGUUUUCAUCUGUUAUGCACAUAAUUUCUUUAAUAAUGCUAUUAAAUCUCUCAAUCUAGUCUCAGAGUUUAUAUAGAUAUACCUUGCUAUUAAGUAUAUUGUUGUUUUCCUAGGUAACUCACAUCUUCCCUAAGAGAGAAAAAUGAAUCACAGUGAUGAAAUCACAUAAAAGAGUAGAGUUAGGAGGGAAAAAACCUUUUAUUUUCAUUUGACUUGCCUAUAUUUCUAAAUGCUUCAUAAUUAUUUUAUGUUACUGAAACAGAAAAUAAUUGUGUUGCCUAAUGUGUUACAUAGAAAUUAGGACUUACUUCCAAGGGUAGAAACACAUUCUUGUUUCCUGAGAGGAAUGUGUUAUUAACGUCUCUCUCUGUUAAAAUUGUGAACUGCGAGCAGGAGUCUGACUGACUUGUGAUUGUGUAAUAUUUUAGAAGAGCCUCAUGAAUAGAAGAUAUUUUUGUAGCACAAGCUUAGUUUCUCUUUCCUGUGUGUGUGUGUGUGUGUGUUAGUCUCUCAGUCUGGUCCAGCUCUUUGCGACCCCACAGACUGUAACCUGCUAGACUCUUCUGUCUAUGGAAUUCUCUGGGCAAGAAUACUGGAGUGGGUUGCCAUUCCCUUCUCCAGGGGGUCUUCCUGACCCAGGGAUCGAACCCAAGUGUCCUGCACUGCAGGCGAUUCUUUACCAUCUGAAACACCUAUGAAUGCCACUAUGGGUUCUGGAAACAGAGACAGACUUUAUUUUCUUGGGCUCCAAAAUCACUGCAGAUUAUGAUUGAAGCUAUGAAGUUAAAAGAUGCUUGCUCCUUGGAAGAAAAGUUAUGACAAACCUAGACAGCAUAUUAAAAAGCAGAGACAUUACUUUGCCAACAAAGGUCCGUAUAGUCAAAGCUAUGGUUUUUCCAGCAGUCAUGUAUGGAUGUAAGAGUUGGACCAUAAAGAAAACUGAGUGCUGAAAAAUUGAUGCUUUUAAACUGUGGUGUAGAAGACUCUUGAGAGUCCCUUGGACUGCAAGGAGAUCAACCAGUCCAUCCUAAAGGAAAUCAGUCCUGAACAUUCAUUGGAAGGUCUGAUGCUGAAGCUGAAACUCCAAUACUUUGUCCACCUGAUGUGAAGAACUGACUCAUUUAAAAAAACCCUGAUGCUGGGAAAAUUGAGGGCAGGAGGAAAAGGGGAUGACAGAGGAUGAGAUAGUUGGAUGGUAUCACCGACUCGAUGGACAUGAGUUUGAGCAAGCUCCGGGAGAUGUUAAAGGACAGGGAAGGCUGGUGUGCUACAGUCCAUGGGGUUGCAGAGAGUUGGACAUGACUGAGUAACUGAACAACAAUAAAAUGAGUUCUGGAAGGCACAGAAAGAAAGGACAUCUCCUCCACCUCCUCCUGGUACUGUCUCCUGCUCGAGAAGUCAGGCAGCCUGUGAUUGGUUGUUAAGACUGGAAGGAGAUUUCCUGAGUUCAGAGGCAGGAGCCACCAACUUCAAACAGCAGUUGAAAAACUUCUACAACACAUGAAUUUGGGAUGCAGAGUUUGGAAGCAGGACCAAGUAUCUAUGUUCUCUGCUUUACAAGCACGCCCAGGUUAUGUGUACCUGGGCUAAUGCAGAUGGGACCCGUGGCAUCUGGAUCAACAUCUUUUUUGCACAUAGUCUAAAUUGCCUGAUAUUCACCAAGGCUCUGAAUUGCAUUGAGUCAAAAAUUAAGAGUUUGUAAAACUGGUGGCAUAAGAAAAAUAAUUGUCUCUUGGUUAUGUAUGGUACUUACAAACUACUAGGUUUUUCAGUCCAGGACAGAGGCAAUGAGAAAAUGAAAUGUGGUGCUAAAAGGGUAAAAAAUUUGUCUUGAAAUAAACUUUGUUUUCCAAAGCAUAGUAUUAUGUUGAAUUUUCCUUGCUAAGAGAGUUAAUAACAUGUCCAUGUCUUUUUAAAUGUACAAUUGAAAACAAACAGCCUUUAUAAAACACAGCAUUUUAGCCACUAGAGUCAAACUUCAUGAGAACUUGGACCUGUUCCACUUUGCCUGACUGCAUCUCCACCCCUGGGACAGCUCCUAGGACAUCAUGGGUGCUGCAUGAAAAGUUAGCUGUGGAGGGAAGUCUCCAAUUAUGUGUUUUCAUAUUCACAUGAUUCAAUGUUUAAAUGUCUGAAUGUUUGAUACAUUUAUUGCCUCUGAUAUCAUUUAUGGGCAACAGAAGAAUCUCAGGAAAAAGAAACUAUAAAGUUAUCACUAAAUUUGAGAUAGGACUGCAGUUCAGCUA